AUACGUAGGGGGCGAGCGUUGUCCGGAAUGAUUGGGCGUAAAGGGCGCGUAGGCGGCCCGGUAAGUCUGGAGUGAAAGUCCUGUUUUUAAGAUGGGAAUUGCUUUGGAUACUGUCGGGCUUGAGUGCAGGAGAGGUAAGUGGAAUUCCCAGUGUAGCGGUGAAAUGCGUAGAGAUUGGGAGGAACACCAGUGGCGAAGGCGACUGACUGGACUGUAACUGACGCUGAGGCGCGAAAGUGUGGGGAGCAAACAGGAUUAGAUACCCUGGUAGUCCACACUGUAAACGAUGAAUGCUAGGUGUAGGGGGUAUCGACCCCUUCUGUGCCGCAGUCAACACAAUAAGCAUUCCGCCUGGGGAGUACGGCCGCAAGGUUGAAACUCAAAUGAAUUGACGGGG
rnacentral:rRNA from 1 species